rnacentral:lncRNA from 1 species
CGUCACUUAAUCGUAGCCCUUGAUUUUUAAUCUAACGGACGAGAGAUUCCUAUGUUAAUUAGUACAUAAUUUUUGGAUUACCCCUACCUCCAGUUAUCAUCCCAAAAUAAACACCUAAAUCACGCCGUCGCCGAAAAUCGCCCAUGGCGGCGACCCACCUCCAAAUUCCACCAAAUUAUCAUCCCGAAAUCCCCUCUUCUACAUCAUCUCAAAUCCACAAUCUCUUUCCUUCAAAUCCCAUCAAAACGUCUCGAAUAUUGGAUCGAAACUUUUCCGGUAAUGACACCACCGCGUCCAAAUGACACCAAAUUCACACCAGGUGUUCACCUCCCUCCCUACGUCACGAAUCCAUGCCUAUUUCACCUCAAAUGUCCCUCAAACUGUUUGAAUUUUGAAUCGAACUCUGACUCCAAAACCCCUAGUUCAUUGGCUUGGUCCCAAAUUAACGCCCUACGGUUACAUUGCCUUCCCCAUACGGAAUCAUGUGUCAGAAGGUUCAAAUGUCAUCGCAAUGGUUCAAGCAUCAAAUUGAUAGGCGUCAGAUCGUAGUAGUAAGUUUCGAAUGAAUUAGAUUUCUGUUUCUUUUUCUGAUCUCUCAUGCGUCUGUGAAUUAGGUAUGUAUUUGUGUUCCAUGAGUAAUUACUAAUAUAAGUUUUUAAAUUUCGUCAUUAGUUUUGCUUAAGUAUUUUGGGUCUAGUUCUGAUUAUUUAGUCUUAUUUAAAUCUGGUUUUGUAAUGGUUAAUAACUAGGUUAAUUUCUUCAUUUUUGCCAAGUUCUUUUUAUUUUUGGAUUUUCUGCCAUUCCUGUCUAAUUUUUUCUUUUGGGUUCCGAUUAUGUGUUAGGUCUUGACUGUGCGUCGUUGAUUUGCUUUUAGUCAUCAUGUUAAUUCUUGUUCAAUAAUGUCUUUAUAGACAUCAUUUGAGUUUUGUUAGUGUAUUAUUAAUUAAUUUUAAUGGGUUCAAUCUAGUUAGUUUAGGUUAACCAUUAGCUGAUAUUACUUUACUUCCUUGCAUGGUUUAAUUAGCUAUUAAGAAUUUAUGAUUAUAGAUUGGUACAGUUGAAUAAUAGGGAUUUAGUUAACUAUGGGGUUGGGUAAGUAAUAGUCAUUUGGUAAUUUCAGGAGAAGCUAAGGGCAAUUGAGGUAGUUUAAAAGCAAGGGAAUCUUUAAAUAACUUAAUUGGAAGCUACUAGAAUAUUCUAGAUAAGUUUCAAAUCAGAUAUUUAGUAACUUAGGGGUGUAACUUGGGUAGCAAGUCAGGGAAUAAAGGAUUAAGUAGGCAAAAAAAUGAAAAUAGCAUAGGGACUAAUAUGUAAAAAAUCUGAGGAUGCACCUUAUUUUGCCUAUGAAAAGGCAUCACCAAUGCCUUAACUCACAAGUUUUGAGCCCCAAUAUUCCCCCGAAAUUUUUUUCUCAAUCUUUGCAGAUCUAAAAUUUAGAUUCAGAUCAAAACUUCUUAUAUUUUAGCUUUCUUCAUAUAGAAAACAAAACAAACAAUAGAAAACUUUCAAAAUCCAAAAAUAACUACUAUUCCAUUAAGCAUUAGGUGAAUUUCAACUUUUAUUUGUGGAUUUACACUUUUCUAGUUCAAAUUCUACUGUAUCCAUUUCGAGUGGUUUUUGGACUUAUUUGAGUCAAUUGGGCCAGUCAGUUGGUGUAGUACUUUUGUAGUGUGUUCCGUUGUGUUUAGUGAAUCUAUUUCAAUUCAAAAUUACUCCAAUUCACUUUUACUGAGUUUCUGUUAGAGUUUCCUGGAUUUAUUGUGAAGUUGCUUUUGGUUCAAUAUAAUCCUGUUUGGUUGGUUGUUACUGUGUGAUUGCUGGUGCUGUUUUAUAAAGUAAUUCAUAAGUCUAGUUGUUGCUACCUACUACUGACUCUCAUUCUUCUCCUUCAAUUUUAAAUGCAGGUACAUGCUUCGAAUUCCCCCUGAUGUAACUAAUUAGAGUGAAAUGAAAUCUAAUUCCAGAUCUGAGCUCAUUUGAAUACUUUUUACAGUCCGUUUUUUGAUGUAGUUGUUUAGUUUUAAUUUGUGGGAUAUUGUAUUAAACUUGGACUGUUUAACUAGGAUUAUUUUUGUUGUUGAAAUUCGUAAUGGGCUCCUAUGGACUGCUAAUCUAGUUCAGCUUACUCCUAUUAGUAUGAGUACUCUGUAGUUAGCUAUUUUAAUUUAGUUUAAUUGGUGUUACUAGUUCUCUGAGCCGAUGGUCGAUUGGAAACAGCCUCUCUGCCGUUUCCGGUAGGGUUAAGACUCGUCUACAUAUUACCCUCCCAGACCCCACUUUGUGGGACUAUACUGGGUAGUUUUUGUUGUUGUUUUGUUGUUGGUGUUACUAGUAUAGUAUUAUGUGAUGUAGUUUCAUUUUUCAGUAAUGUUAAAAACAAGUACACUGCUAUCAAAGUCGAGUUUCUGAUUCCAAUUUGGCUGUCACCUUGAAAAAUAUUUGGGAGUUCAUAAGUAAAAUAUACGUGAAUAAAUAAAUAGAUAUAGAAAGUGAAUUUUAUAAUCUGAAAUUAAAUUACAACACAAUUGCACAAAACCAAGAAGUUGACACUAGAGAUUGAUUGGGCCCCUUGAAUUUACAUUUAAGUAUGAUAUCACGUUUUCGCCCAGCCUCGACCCUUGAGUCGUGUUCUCAAGCUGCUAACAUGUCACUUGGGCCUGAUUUCCCCAAUAGCAGGCCCAAAGUGUUGGGUUCUUUAUGUCUUAAACAAAAUGCUAAGCAUGCUUCCUUUAUUUACAUCAUAAACUACUUAGCCUGAAUUAUUUGAGAGUGAAUCAUGAGGGUCUUGCCUUUUAUCAAUAUGAAUUAAUUCGUUCUUUUCUAUUUUUUAUUAGAGACAAAAAACAAUAGAAAUUCGUAGUCACUUUAGGAUUGGCCUUUAAAUAAAAUUGAUGAGACGAGCCUCGCCAAAUCAAAUGUAAAUUGCAGGGCCCUCAUUCAAUGCUUAAUGAACAAAUAGUUAGAAUUCGGGAUGGGCUAUUAAGCGAAUUUCACAGCCUUCCCCGAAGAUAAUAACGCAUUAGACUCUGCUGGGGAAAAGAACCCAGAACAAUUCGUUCAGGAUUCAAAAUUUGAACUUAGAAUAAUUGUUGUAUUUGGCGUUAUCUGAUUUUCCUACAUGUUUCACGCCUAAUGUGCUAAAUGUUUACCGCUUCAAUAUUAUCUGAAUUGUGUAUAAACUGUGCCGAAACUCUUAUCUUCUCACCUCCAGGGAUGUGCUUAUUGGUUGAGACUCCCCAUUUGUUAGUGUAAUACCCUAAAAAAAAGAGGCUCGGAUAAGUUACAAAGCUGGACGAUCUUGUGGGUCACCGGUACGUAGCCCCCUCCUCAAUUCGAGUUGUCCGCUCGGGUACACUAUUUAGAACACAUACCCAGGUUUUGAACCUAGAAUAACUUGACUUCAUGCCGCAUCCCUAGUAGGAACGCUUAUUUGCAUCAUGUUGCAUUUGACUUAGAGGACUCAACACAGGGGUUGGGUCCGUCUAGGACAAGCAACCUGAAAUGAAAAAGACCAUCCUGAUGCAUCCUACUUUUUUCUGCACUUAUUUUCUUCGAACUUCCAUGCCGACUGACUCUUUAAACACAGAAAAUUAGAAAAAGAGAAAAAAAAAGAAAUAGCAGUGUAGGGAGUUAAUUACCUAUUUCAGAAAAACCAAUGCCCAAAUACUGUUGAAACUUUAUCGAAAUUUUGAGAAAAUAAAAAAGAAAAAUAUUUUAUUUAUUAGUUUGUUUUACCCAAAAAGCAAAAAAUGAAAAGCAGCCCUCAUGUUUACAUAGGUUGUUUCAUUAUUUGUUGAAAAAGAAAAGAAAAAAGAGUCUUUAUUUUGUCUUGUUUUCAAAAAAGAAAAAUAUGUUGUUUUAUUGUUUGUUGAAAAAGGAAAAUAAAGAAGUCUUGUUUUCAAAAAUAGUUCAUUUUCUUUGCUCGAACUACGCAUGUUUAAUUCUCAUCGGAUGUGAGAUACGUAGGCAGCCAUCAUCGGGUCCAACCUCCCCUUUGAAAAAUAGCUAAAAAAUAUCUAAGCUUUAAAGUUUGGCAUGAAUAAGUUAGGUGAAGCCCUUCUUGUCAUAAAUAGCCGAAUGUCCCUAAAAGUGCGCCGGAAGGCUGCUUUUUCAAGAAUAGCCACCUUUGGUCAUUUUUCAGGAUUUUGGCCGGUUAGCCAAUGCAUCCUUAAAAUCUUUGCCCCCGAGGUGCUGAAAUGUCGAGUUUGUUAAAUUAGAUCUUUUAUUUUAAUUUGAAAAACAAGAAAAAAGUCAGUGGUCAAGUGAAUACCGUUUGGAUAUUGAUCAAAAUAAGUCGAUCCAACUUCGGCAAUGUCUUAAACAGUUCUUAUUGAGAUAGCCUUAGAGUAUCUUUCAGUUGUCGAAAGGGUUUUUCUUAAAACAACGAACAAGUUUGUGAAAUGUCAUAAAAUAACCCUCCCUGGCCUCAAAAGUCAUGUGUAAUUGGGAAUGUGACACGUUUGCAAAAAUAGCCAUUUGGUUAAAAUAGUCAUAUAGGGUAAGGAAUCUGUCAGUCUGUUUUUGAAUUUGUAUUUCUUUUGAUUAGACUAUGUGGAUUGAUUGAUUUUCGAGUCUGUACAUUCUCUUUUCGUCAAAGUGUGUUAGUUUGGUUAGUUUUUAAACCUUUGUAAUCAAGUUUGUUUUAUUCUGAAAAAUUGAAAUUUCCAAAAAUAUUUUGUUGUUGUUUAUCUUCUAUUUGCACGAACUACGCCUGGUCUAAUUUAUGGGGGGUCACGAUACGUAGGCAAUCCACAUCGGAUUCGACCAAAACCUUAAGAAUAAAAACAAAAGAGAGAGGGGAGAAAAUGAAAGAAAAACACAAAAAGAAAUAAAAAAGUGGGAAAAUGAGAAAACCAAGAAAAUCACGACAAAGGAAGUCAAAAUGAAAGAAAAAUAAAAGAAAAGAGAGGAACUGAAAAGGGGUGAAAAACAUGAAAGGAAAGAAAAAUGAAUGAGAGAAUAAGAAUAAAAGACAGCAAAGGCGGGAACGGAAAAAGAGGCAAAAAAGUGAAAGAAAAGAACAAAAGAAAAAAAAGAGAAAAAUUUUGCAAUCGGAAAUAGGAAAAAGACCGGGAUGACGCAAGCAGUCGAGAAAAUACAUAAUAGAUAUUGUCAACUGUUUAGGUGCAUUCAAUCCCCAAAUGUGCGAUUACCAAUAUGUUAAAUGUCUUAACGCUAUCAUGAUGGUUUCAUUUUGGCAUGUAGAAAGGUGGUUGGUUUGUGGUUUUUAAGGUAACUCUUCCCUACAACACAAAGGCAAAAGACAAUGGCAGAGAAAAACAGAACUGAGUGGGUUGAUACCGAUGCCCAAAAACAGCUGGUUAAACAG